GGUGAGGUGGGUGAGAGGCUGAAACCACCAGUUUGCUAAACUGACGUACGCGCAAGUGUACCGCGGGUUCGAAUCCCGCCCUCACCGCCA
rnacentral:tRNA from 1 species